UUUCCAUAGGUGAACCUGCGGAAGGAUCAUUAUUGUAUAACCGAGGUGCGAGGGCUGUCGCUGACCCGAAAGGUCGUGCACGCCCGAGUGCCCUCACACACAUCCAUCUCACCCCUAUGUGCACCACCGCGUGGGUCCCCCUUUGGCUUGUUCGGAGGGGGGCUUACGUUUUCACACAAACUUUGUAUGCAGUGUAGAAUGUAUUUUUUGUUUUUGCGAUCACGCAAUCAAUACAACUUUCAACAACGGAUCUCUUGGCUCUCGCAUCGAUGAGGAACGCAGC
rnacentral:misc_RNA from 1 species